GGNNCAUUACCGAGUGAGGGCCCUCUGGGUCCACCUCCCACCCGUGUUUAUUUUACCUUGUUGCUUCGGCGGGCCCGCCUUAACUGGCCGCCGGGGGGCUCACGCCCCCGGGCCCGCGCCCGCCGAAGACACCCUCGAACUCUGUCUGAAGAUUGAAGUCUGAGUGAAAAUAUAAAUUAUUUAAAACUUUCAACAACGGAUCUCUUGGUUCCGGCAUCGAUGAAGAACGCAGCGAAAUGCGAUACGUAAUGUGAAUUGCAAAUUCAGUGAAUNAUCGAGUCUUUGAACGCACAUUGCGCCCCCUGGUAUUCCGGGGGGCAUGCCUGUCCGAGCGUCAUUGCUGCCCUCAAGCCCGGCUUGUGGUGUUGGGCCCCGUCCUCCGAUCUCCGGGGGACGGGCCCGAAAGGCAGCGGCGGCACCGCGUNCGGUCCUNNAGCGUAUGGGGCUUUGUCACCCGCUCUGUAAGCCCGGCCGGCGCUUGCCGAUCAACCCAAAUUUUUAUUCCANGUUGACCUCGGAUUAAGUANG
rnacentral:rRNA from 1 species